rnacentral:rRNA from 1 species
UGCAGUCGAGCGGAACGAGUUAUCUGAACCUUCGGGGAACGAUAACGGCGUCGAGCGGCGGACGGGUGAGUAAUGCCUAGGAAAUUGCCCUGAUGUGGGGGAUAACCAUUGGAAACGAUGGCUAAUACCGCAUAAUGCCUACGGGCCAAAGAGGGGGACCUUCGGGCCUCUCGCGUCAGGAUAUGCCUAGGUGGGAUUAGCUAGUUGGUGAGGUAAUGGCUCACCAAGGCGACGAUCCCUAGCUGGUCUGAGAGGAUGAUCAGCCACACUGGAACUGAGACACGGUCCAGACUCCUACGGGAGGCAGCAGUGGGGAAUAUUGCACAAUGGGCGCAAGCCUGAUGCAGCCAUGCCGCGUGUGUGAAGAAGGCCUUCGGGUUGUAAAGCACUUUCAGUCGUGAGGAAGGUAGUGUAGUUAAUAGCUGCAUUAUUUGACGUUAGCGACAGAAGAAGCACCGGCUAACUCCGUGCCAGCAGCCGCGGUAAUACGGAGGGUGCGAGCGUUAAUCGGAAUUACUGGGCGUAAAGCGCAUGCAGGUGGUUUGUUAAGUCAGAUGUGAAAGCCCGGGGCUCAACCUCGGAAUAGCAUUUGAAACUGGCAGACUAGAGUACUGUAGAGGGGGGUAGAAUUUCAGGUGUAGCGGUGAAAUGCGUAGAGAUCUGAAGGAAUACCGGUGGCGAAGGCGGCCCCCCUGGACAGAUACUGACACUCAGAUGCGAAAGCGUGGGGGAGCAAACAGGAUUAGAUACCCUGGUAGUCCACGCCCGUAAACGAUGUCUACUUGGAGGUUGUGGCCUUGAGCCGUGGCUUUCGGAGCUAACGCGUUAAGUAGACCGCCUGGGGG